CAACCCAGCAGCCACCCAGGUCCAGAAAUAGGGCUUUGAGUUGGCCCACCCCAACAUCCACCCCAUCUGUGAUCUGCCGGAGCUCGUGAAGGGACUGGUCCAUGACACAGGACGACAGGAUAGCCAAGAGGAGUCCCGCAAAAGAUUCAUAAGCUGGCCAGCCUGGAACACCUGGUAACGCGGACCCAGAGAAGCCGCCACGGGAGAGAGAGAGAGGACAGACAGCUGCAGCUAGCUGGAUCAAAAGUGUUCCAUGGGUAUGCAAAUUUGUGGGGCCCCGCCCUGUGGACGAGGGUGGAAGCGGCACUUCACGCAGUGCCGGGCCUGGCCGCCAGAGGGCGACGCCGAGAACUGGCUAAGAGUGGAUCUGCACUCAGUCCAGGACUCAGGUUUUACGAGCAAGAAUGCCGCUUGGAAAGAAGCUGCUCACUCUCCCCACACUAUCUCCAAAGUCCUGGGCCAGAGACUUUACCUGCAGGGAGAAGACUGAUGGCUUCCCAAAGGAACGGACUUCAUUUGUAACAGAGCAUCGUGAAGCCUCUGGCAAACAGUUGGGAUGUAGUAUGGCUCAAUGAUAGGGCACCUUCCCAGUAUGGGAGAGGCUUCGGGUUUAAUCCCUAGCAAGGCAAAUAACAAUGAUAAUAAAAAGAACAAUAAUCAUAAUAAUAACUAGAGAAAUAAACUGGAGUGGUCUGGAGCAUUGUGGAGAAGAGCAAUUGGGAGACUGACUGUCUCACUGGAUUUAUGGGCUCAUCUGUAGGCUGGGCAGACUUCCAGGAAGGUAAACACAGCGUAUGAACACUGACUCAGGGAGCGAUCCCUUCCAAGGAGCCCAAAACAACUCCUGAGUGAACUUUAACAGCUGGAUGUGGUCAGGGACAGACACAUGAAAGGUCUGCAAAAAAUACUGCCCCAGCACUUGUGAGGCUGAGGCAGGAGGAUUGCUGCACGUAUGAGGCCAGCCUUGGCUGAACAUAGAGUUCCAGGACAGCCUACGCAGAAUGAGACCCUGGCUCAUAAAACCAAAACCAUGUAACAAAAAACAAGCCAAGUGUGGUAGUGGCAUAUGUCUUUAAUCCCAUUACUCGGGAAGUAGAGGCAGGAGGAUCCCUAUGAGUUUGAGGCUACCCUGGUCUACAUGGUUAAGAUCUAGCACAGUGAGGGCUACGUUGUUAGAACUUGUCUUAAAAAACAACAAGCCAAAACUCAAACAAACAUACAAUCCUACAAAAACCCUCAUUGUUAUGCUAAAGUCACUGUGAGCACCUCCCUAUAGUCACUGUGAGUACACCCCUUAUAGUCACUGUGAGCACACCCCUAUAGUCACUGUGAGCACACCCCUAUAGUCACUGUGAGCACACCCCCUAUAGUCACUGUGAGCACACCCCUAUAGUCACUGUGAGCACACCCCCUGCAGUCACUGUGAGCACACCCCUAUAGACACUGUGAGCACACCCCCUGCAGUCACUGUGAGCACACCCCUAUAGACACUGUGAGCACCUCCCUAUAGUCACUGUGAGCACACCCCUAUAGACAUUGUGAGCACAUCCCUAUAGUCACUGUGAGCACACCCCUGCAGUCACUGUGAGCACACCCCUAUAGUCACUGUGAGCACACCCCUAUAGACACUGUGAGCACACCCCUAUAGUCACUGUGAACACACCCCUAUAGACACUGUGAGCACACCCCUAUAGUCACUGUGAACACACCCCUAUAGACACUGUGAGCACACCCCUAUAGUCACUGUGAACACACCCCCUGCAGUCACUGUGAGCACACCCCUGCAGUCACUGGAGCACACCCCUAUAGACACUGUGAGCACACCCCUAUAGACAUUGUGAGCACACCCCUAUAGUCACUGUGAACACACCCCCUGCAAUCACUGUGAGCACACCCCUAUAGUCACUGUGAGCACACCCCUAUAGACAUUGUGAGCACAUCCCUAUAGUCACUGUGAACACACCCCCUGCAAUCACUGUGAGCACACCCCUGCAGUCACUGGAGCACACCCUCUGCUGUGAGGCAGGAGUCUCACCGUGAGAGGCACGGAAGGGGUGAGAUGGAUUUGCUUCCCUCCACUGACAUCCCUGAAUAAAUAAACAAGCAGACAAUAAUUACACACCCCAGAAACAGGAGAACAUGCUACAGUGUAAUCUCUGAAAUGUCUUUUCUCCAAACAACAGGCAUUACAAGGCAGGAAAAGAAACAGGAAAACAUGACUCAUACAGCGAAGAGCAAACAAAGGCAGGCGGCAGAGCCUGCCUGCGCAAGAGGGCAGAGGUCAGGACCGACAGACACAGCCUUCGAAGUCACUGUUAUAAACAAGGAGUCAAAGGAAGAGAAGACCGGUCAGAGGACAAUGUCGCGUCAGGAGAAAGAGAAAUGGUUUUGUUCAAGGUCAGCAAGGGCCACACAGUUCCAGGCCAGCCUGGGUUACAGAGUAAGACCAAAAAGAAAAUAACUGAAAAUUUCAUAAACUUGUGGCUGGGUGUGGUGGCGCACGCCUUUAAUUCCAGCACUUAGGAAACAGAGACAGGCAGAUCUCUCUGAGUUCGAGGCCAGUCUGGUCUACAGAGCAAGUUCCAGGACAGUCAGGGUUGUUACACAGAGAAACCCUGUAUCAAAAAUCAAAAACAAAAAUGUUUAAAGUUAAAUUAAAAAUAAAUAAAUAAACAAGCUUGUUGUUACCAGCAUGGUGGCGCAUGCCUUUAAUCUCAGCACACAUGCACACUCAGGCACACGCACAUGCCUACAAACACAAAUCCCAAAAACCCACAAACAACAAAACAACAAAGCAAAAACAAAAACAAAAAAUCUGCUAGACUUCCAGAAGGCCCAAUUAACUUCAAGUAGAAUAAAUACAGAGAAAUCAUCUUGGCAAAAAUACUGAGAGUCAAAGACCA